rnacentral:misc_RNA from 1 species
AAAAUGCGAUAAGUAAUGUGAAUUGCAGAAUUCAGUGAAUCAUCGAAUCUUUGAACGCACAUUGCGCCCGCCAGUAUUCUGGCGGGCAUGCCUGUUCGAGCGUCAUUUCAACCCUCAAGCCCCCGGGUUUGGUGUUGGGGAUCGGGCUGAGGUUCUCCGCGUCCCGGCCCCGAAAUCUAGUGGCGGUCUCGCUGCAGCCUCCAUUGCGUAGUAGCUAACACCUCGCAACUGGAACGCGGCGCGGCCAAGCCGUUAAACCCCCAACUUCUGAAUGUUGACCUCGGAUCAGGUAGGAAUACCCGCUGAACUUAAGC